GCCAGCUGUUAUCUCAUCCUCUAACUCACAUCUGGCAACUUACUAAAGCUCAGCAGGUGUGAGCCUGGUUAGUACCUGGGUGGGAGACCUCCGGGGAAAGCUAAGGUUGCUGCUGGAA
rnacentral:rRNA from 1 species